CUGAUGAUACUCCAGCAAGCAUUGGAUUUCUAGGUCUUGGAAUUAUGGGCUCCCCUAUGGCGCAAAAUCUCAUAAAAGCAGGACGUGACGUGACAGUUUGGAAUAGGACCAAGAGCAAAUGUGAACCCCUUAUCUCCAUGGGUGCAAAAUACAAGUCCUCCCCUGAGGAAGUUGCAGCAUCUUGUGGCGUCACAUUUGCCAUGCUUGCAGACCCUGAGAGUGCAAUGGAUGUUGCUUGUGGAAAAUAUGGAGCUGCAAAAGGAAUGGGUCCCGGAAAAGGUUAUGUAGAUGUUUCUACAGUUGAUGGUGAAACUUCUAAACUGAUCUGUGAGCAUAUCAGAGCUACUGGAGCUCAUUUUUUGGAGGCUCCAGUAUCAGGGUCCAAGAAGCCAGCAGAAGAUGGACAGCUAAUAUUUCUCACUGCAGGUGACAACGUGCUGUAUGAAACAGUUGCUCCACUGUUGGAUAUCAUGGGGAAGUCAAGAUUUUACCUUGGUGAAGUUGGUAAUGGAGCUGCAAUGAAACUUGUCGUCAAUAUGGUUAUGGGAAGUAUGAUGGCCUCCUUUUCUGAAGGAUUAGUACUUAGCGAGAAAGUUGGACUUGAUCCAAGUGUAUUAGUGGAGGUGAUCUCGCAGGGUGCUAUUAGUGCUCCAAUGUAUGCCAUGAAAGGUCCUUCAAUGGUUAAAUCUUUGUAUCCGACAGCGUUUCCUCUGAAGCAUCAGCAAAAGGACCUUCGUCUAGCUCUGGGUUUAGCUGAAUCUGUUUCACAACCCACUCCAAUUGCUGCUGCAACCAAUGAACUUUACAAGGUUGCAAAAUCUCAUGGUCUCAGUGACCAGGACUUUUCUGCAGUAAUUGAAGCAUUAAAAGUGAAAUUACAACACCAAACUUAAAGCAGUCUUUCCUGGAUAACAUAUGCUAUUUCCUUCACAAAGCUUGGGUGUAAUAUAUCCACCAUGAUACGGACUUGAAUUGGAGAUAUCCGAUUGAAGGUGAAGGGAUCCUACUCAUUCGAUCAUAAUUCUUAUUGUUAUUUUAUGUUAGGGGUGUACAAAUCGAAUUGGAAAUUCGCAUCAAACUGAAAGUCAAACCAAAUCGAUUAAAAAAUUCGAUGAAAUUUGGUUUGAUUUGGUUUGGUAUUAAGUAAAAAAAUAUAAUAU